UACGUAGGGUGCAAGCGUUGUCCGGAAUUAUUGGGCGUAAAGAGCUCGUAGGCGGUUUGUCGCGUCUGCUGUGAAAUUUCGGGGCUCAACCCCGAACUUGCAGUGGGUACGGGCAGACUAGAGUGUGGUAGGGGAGACUGGAAUUCCUGGUGUAGCGGUGAAAUGCGCAGAUAUCAGGAGGAACACCGAUGGCGAAGGCAGGUCUCUGGGCCACUACUGACGCUGAGGCGCGAAAGCUAGGGGAGCAAACAGG
rnacentral:rRNA from 1 species